rnacentral:rRNA from 1 species
AUUGAACGCUGGCGGCAGGCCUAACACAUGCAAGUCGAGCGGAUGAAGGGAGCUAGCUCCUGGAUUCAGCGGCGGACGGGUGAGUAAUGCCUAGGAAUCUGCCUGGUAGUGGGGGAUAACGUCCGGAAACGGGCGCUAAUACCGCAUACGUCCUGAGGGAGAAAGUGGGGGAUCUUCGGACCUCACGCUAUCAGAUGAGCCUAGGUCGGAUUAGCUAGUUGGUGGGGUAAAGGCCUACCAAGGCGACGAUCCGUAACUGGUCUGAGAGGAUGAUCAGUCACACUGGAACUGAGACACGGUCCAGACUCCUACGGGAGGCAGCAGUGGGGAAUAUUGGACAAUGGGCGAAAGCCUGAUCCAGCCAUGCCGCGUGUGUGAAGAAGGUCUGCGGAUUGUAAAGCACUUUAAGUUGGGAGGAAGGGCAGUAAGUUAAUACCUGGCUGUUUUGACGUUACCAACAGAAUAAGCACCGGCUAACUUCGU